UUUUAAAAAAAAUUUGACAGCCAGCUCCGGUGGCCUAGUUGUUAGGUUCAGUGCACUCUGCUUUGGUGGGCUGGGUUCGGUUCC